rnacentral:rRNA from 1 species
UACGUAGGGUGCGAGCGUUAAUCGGAAUUACUGGGCGUAAAGUGUGCGCAGGUGGCCGCGCAAGUCGAGUGUGAAAUCCCCGAGCUUAACUUGGGAAUUUGCGCUCGAAACUACGUGGCUCGAGUGUGGCAGAGGAAGGUGGAAUUCCACGUGUAGCGGUGAAAUGCGUAGAGAUGUGGAGGAACACCGAUGGCGAAGGCAGCCUUCUGGGCCAACACUGACGCCCAUGCACGAAAGCGUGGGGAGCAAACAGG